UAGUUUUUUUAAUUUUAAUCAAGUAUUAUGAAACAGAGGAAGUAGUAAAAUUUUUGUUUCAAAAUAAGUGUUAUUUUAUUUUUGCAAAUUUAUGUUUUUCUUGAUAGAAAAGGUUUGAACAUUGCUGAAACAUCUUCCUUGCAUAUGUCUCCACUGUUUUUAUUGCAAUUUUAGCACUCUAGCUCUUUUUUUCUUGACGACGCACUCUAGCUUUGAACAUUGAGACUCAGUUUUAUUUACAUUUCUAGUGACUAGUAACGAGUCAUCAUCACAAGUAAACACACCAGAAUGGACAUGAGCUAUGUAGAUCGGAUAUAAAGGGAUUUGGUCAUAAACAAGCUGGAUCUGCUCGAUCUAGCUCCAUAUACUAAGUCUAUGGCUUGUGACACGCAGGGGCGGAUCUACAGUGUUGUGUACGGGGGCACGUGCCCCCGACUACUUUAUAAAACUUCUUAAGUAAUUAUGUUGACAUUCAACUCUGGUAGAACAAUUGGCAAAGCUGUCCCUGAUAAGUCGAAUACCUACCGAGUUCAAAGCCCCCUCUCUGUAUUUUUUUCUUCUUUUGGCUGUAUAAUUAAUGUGGUUACACGUUUACAUUUAUUCUAUCUUUUUAGCUAUUAUAGUAGCAUUUUCUACUUUUUGUUUGAUUAUUAUACUUUUCUCAGCAUAUCUUUUCUUUAUUUGUUUUUUUUCAUAGUUUUUUCUAUUAUAUUUCAUGUUUAAAUUUCAAUUUUUUUAAGCACGUUUCAUUGUUUUAAUAAUAUAUAUUAGUAAAUGAACAAUUCUAAUUAAUAUUUAGAUGAUAAACAAUUCAUUCAUUUCAAUUUAAUUUUUAGAAUUUAGUUCUUUGAGGUAUUAUGACCAAAAAUAUGUAUGACAUUGACAUACUGUUGUUAUAUGUAUAAAACAAUGACAUUUUCUAUAUAAUUCCAAAUUGGUUGUAACAGUAUUGUAACUGAUAAUAUUUUUUUUUUUAAAUAUAAUCUUAAAAUUAUAGCAUUCGAAUAAAAAUAGUGAAUUGUUGUUUUGACAGUUUAAAACUGUUUAUUUUUUAUUAUUAACAGUCUAUAAUAUUUAUUAAUAAAUUAUAUAUUUUAUUAUAUUACUAAUAUUAAUAUUAAUUAUAUGUCCCCGUCAAAUAAUUUGUCUGGAUCCGCCACUGAUUAUCUGAAGUCUUGAACAGGUUGUAAAUCUUUCUGGCCAUAUCUUACAUCCCAAAUUUUAUAAUUUUAAAUAAGUACGUUCUCAUUGUUAACCGGAUUUAGAUGUCAUACAUACGUAUAUGACUUUUUGUGACAUAUUAGUUAAUGUGUUGUUUUCUAGUUUCAAAAAGUUCUUCCUAGGGACCCUUCUUCAACUACUAUCACCUCCCCUCUACUUGCUUUCUCAUCAUCAUGCAAAGUCAUGACAUCAAAUAAAUGGCUUUGAUGAUCUCAUCGUUAGGUAAUUAUCAUCAUUAUCAGCAUCCCCAGUAUUACCGUAACCAACAUGCUUGUGUUCUGUCACUAAGAAUAAAAGUCCACGUGAGAAAAGCUUUUUAUAAAACUAAAAUUCAUACAUCAUGGAUUUUGACGUAUCAACCAUUCCAAUUUAUUUUCUAACCCCUCAAGUUGUAUAUAUACAAUACACCUUCACCACAUCAAUAUCAACACAUACGUUUCCAUUAUCUUAGACUCUUAGUCGCCUUCUCCAGUUCUUCUGCAUAUUAAUAUGGCUUGUGAAUCUACUAAACAGAAAAAGCAUGAGAAGAUUGUCUACUUUCCGAGGAUCGACAGGUAUGGAUUUGUUUCUUUCCUUUGAACAUGGAGCAAGUUUAUAAAUCAAAGUUUCAAACUUAUUGGAGAACUUGCUGUGUUGUGUGGAGUUUCUGAUGGAGGAAAACGAAACAUGUGCUUGAGUGUCACGUAUCCAAAAUAUAUAAAAGCCUUAGGAAUUUUGAUGGCGCUACAAAACUUGGAAUUUGCAACUGGAGUUUGCGUUUACAAAUCUUGAAAAUGUUCUUUAAUUCGGGCCUAGCUUUGGAAUAUUCGGAAUCGUGCAUUUAGAUUGAUAAUCAGAGUCAUCUUAUAGUUUCAACUGCAGUAGAUUAUUACAUUAGUUUUAAGUGCAUUUAGAUUGUUAGUGCAAUGACAACUGAGUUUUAGAAGCCGAAGAAAAACAACUCCCCAAGUUGUUCUUGUACCAGAGGUGAAGCAAUAUAUGAAGUAGUACAAGAAGUGUUAAGUGAAGAGAACCCGUCUAACUGAUUUGAAGACUGGACUUGGAGUCGACUUAGAACUGACCUACUUGGAAGCUAAGCAAGGUAUAAUUUACUUUAGAUAAAAAGGAAAUCACCAAAGGGAGAUUUCCAAAAAGUUUUGAGCAAAAUUUAGAAAUAUUCCAUAAGUGACAUUUGAGAAUAUUUCUUUUUUGGGAAGUUGGCUAAGGUUAGCCACGGAAUCUACUAGUGUAACUAGAUAGAAACGUGGCUUAGGUUAGGCACCACCUCAAAAGAAGGCUGUAAGCAUCAUAAUGGUUUUGGUAUUGAAUGAGAUUAGACACAAAGCAUAAGUGCUAGGGGUCAUGAGGGGUCAUACGGGUGUCUUUGGUCGUGGAUAGAUCUAGGAACGUGUUAGACUAGUGUUUCCGUCUGAGUGUGAUAUGUUAUUCAACUCGAAAGAUAGUUAGUAAGACAUUUUUUGUUGUUUCUGCUUUAGUAUUUUGUAAAAUAAAUAAAGCAUUGUACUUGUAUGUAUCACUUUCUCUAUCAGACCCGUCUUGCACUUUUGUAGAUUAUUACACUACUUUGGCCAGAGUUUUCUAUAUAUCAAAUGGAAUUAGAUUAAAUGAUCCAUAAUACAAAUUAAUGGGUAGGAAACAACUCUGACAUAAGCGCAUAUGAUAGUCAACAAUGUCUCAAAACUCUGAGUAUGACAUAGCCGCAUAUGGUAAAAGCAGUAACGACUUGUUGAUAGAAAGCUGACAGAGAGGAGUUUUUAAGGAAUUUUUUUUUACAAAUAUAAAAAUUAAGUUACAAAAAAAACAAAUAUAAAGAGAUUAUAUAUUGCAAAAAUGAAAUCAAGAAAUAAAUAUGAAAACAAUAAAGAGAAUAUACAUAACUUUUGUUCUAACGAAGAAAUAAGUAAAUCAAGCAUGUAAAGUUCUAAAAAUAAAGAGAAAUGACCUCAAAUAACCCUAAACCAAGUUUUUCUUCUCAAUCUGGACUACAAAGUCCAAAAUCAUCAAACUAGGUUUCAUUAAUAUGAGCAUUUACUAUAUUACCCAUUUCUUUGUGUAAUUACAUUAUAACUUUUUUGGAAAAAGUAAAAGAGAUAACGAGAUGACGACAGUUUCUCUUAUCUGGCUUUGAUCAUCUCUUUGGUUAUCAUCUACGGCGUCGCUAAUCUUCGCCGGCAUCUAUCCGCUGUCAGUCAUCACAUCUGUCUCCAUCAGCUCCACUGCUGCGCCGCCGUCUCUGUUUCUAAAGGUGAAAAGUAUGGUCGAAAAUAUUCCCCAAUCUCCAUAGGAAACAGUCGCCAACUAAGAAAUCUCAUCGGCAAGAUUAAAGGAACUUGAUGGAAUCUGUCGCUUGUAGAUGUAGCAUAGGAUGACACAACAAAAGCACAUGCAAGACUGCUAUAUGAUGAAGUUUGUGUGUCUAUGCAUAUGUGAUAGGGAAAAAAAAACAGAGAGUUCUAUUCUAUAUUUCAAUUUUCUUAUGAAUAUUUUCCUAAAAUGUUAUUUAAAUUCUACAAACAUUUUCUGUUCUUUUUCAUUUCAAUGGUUUAUUGAUGAUUUACAUGUUUAUAUGAGUAAUUUCUAGGUGUGGUUUAUUUGAUGAUUAUGUGAUAUGCGCUAGAAAACAUAUAUAUUUUCCUUUGGAAGCUCAUCCUAAUCAUGUUAAAUGCUUUCCAACAUUUAUAAUACAUAAUUUAAGUUUAAAUAAAUUUAUCUGUUCGGUACUAAGAGAUGAUUCUUCUCAGCCUAACGGAUAAACCACUACUGUUACUAAACUUGAAAGAUACUUGAAAGAUGGAGUUCAAAGGAAACUUUCCAGAGGGAGUUCUACGUGGAUAAGAACAUGAUUAUAUCGUUUAUUAAUUUAGAAGAAGAUCUUCAAUAUAAUGAUUUGCUUAAGAUGGUUUCUGAAGAUUUCCUUAUUCGAGAGGAAGGUAUAACUUUGAGCUAUGGAAUUUCUUUGUAUGUGAAAAGUAUGGUUGAAAAUAUUCCCAAUCUCCAUAGGAAACAGUCGCCAACUAAGAAAUCUCAUCGGCAAGAUUAAAGGACUUGAUGGAAUCUGUCGCUUGUAGAUGUGGCAUAGGAUGACACAACAAAAGCACAUGCAAGACUGCUAUAUGAUGAAGUUUGUGUGUCUAUGUAUAUGUGAUAGGGGAAAAAACAGAGAGUUCUAUUCAAUAUUUCAAUUUUCUUAUGAAUAUUUUUCUGAAAUGUUAUUUAAAUUCUACAAACAUGUUCUAUUCUUUUUCAUUUCAAUGGUUUAUUGAUGAUUUACAUGUUUAUAUGAGUAAAUUUUAGGUGUGGUUUAUUUGAUGAUUAUGUGAUAUGCACCAGACAACAUAUAUAUUUUCUUUUGGAAGCUCAUCCUAAACAUGCUAAAUGAUUUCCAACAUUUAUAAUACAUAAUUUAAGUUUAAUAAAUUUAUGUGUUCGGUACUAAUAGAUGAUUCUCCUCAGCCUAACGGCUAAACCACUACUGUUACUAAACUUGAAAGAUUGGUGGUGCCCGAGUGUCAAUAUUUUUGCAGUCACAUAUACAUUCAAAAUGCAAUAUUGUAUAUUAAAGAGCAUGAGAAAACACAUUGAAAUAUGUUAAGCAUUAUGGGAAUUGUCAGGUCACAAGUUUAAUACAUUUUUAUGGUUAUUGAAACUAUAAUAGUGUUACCAACAUAACACAUAUUAGUUCAUAGAUAUUGUCAUGUGAUUCGUAUAGUUCAUAUAGUUUUUAGGUAUUUGUUUAUAUAUUUAUUAAAAUCCAAAACCUCACAUUCCAAAACUCCACCCCUCAACUAUAAACUCUAAAUGUAGAUUAAUUAACUUUAGGGUUAUAAAUGUCUAUUUAUCUCAUUAAAUGUGAGGAUAAAUGUGGUUAAGGUAAACAUGAAAUGUGGUUUAGGCAAUUUCUCAUAUUUGUUUUUCAAAUUUUUUUUUUUGAAAUUCUAAAUUUUUUUUGGAAUUUUUAUUUUUUAAAUAUGUAUUUAUUUAUAUAUUUAUUUAAAUCCU